AUUGAACGCUGGCGGAAUGCUUUACACAUGCAAGUCGAACGGCAGCACGGGGGCAACCCUGGUGGCGAGUGGCGAACGGGUGAGUAAUACAUCGGAACGUGCCCAGUCGUGGGGGAUAACGUAGCGAAAGUUACGCUAAUACCGCAUACGAUCUACGGAUGAAAGCGGGGGACCGUAAGGCCUCGCGCGAUUGGAGCGGCCGAUGUCAGAUUAGGUAGUUGGUGAGGUAAAGGCUCACCAAGCCGACGAUCUGUAGCUGGUCUGAGAGGACGACCAGCCACACUGGGACUGAGACACGGACCAGACGCCUACGGGAGGCAGCAGUGGGGAAUUUUGGACAAUGGGCGCAAACCUGAUCCAGCCAUUCCGCGUGCAGGACGAAGGCCUUCGGGUUGUAAACUGCUUUUGUACGGAACGAAAAGGCUCUGGUUAAUACCUGGGGCUCAUGACGGUACCGUAAGAAUAAGCACCGGCUAACUACGUGCCAGCCGCCGCCGUAA
rnacentral:rRNA from 1 species